ensembl:lncRNA
CAAUUUAAGAAAAUCUGUUAGUAAUUUAUCACAAGGAAAUAUUGGUAAAACUUGUUAUUAAUUUGAUUGUAGCAUUUUAUUGAUACAUUGCAUAAUAUCCUGAAAUCUUGGAACCUGGAGUUGACAACUAUUUUUCUUAGAGCUAUGUGGAGACACUGUUGAAGUAGUGUAACAUAGCAUAAAGCAAAUGUGGAUGCUGUUAAGAGCCAAUGAAAGUCAUACAGAAGAACUCCUUUUAUGAAAAAUGAUUUUACAUAAAUACUCUUAAAGCAAUAGCAAUGAUGCAAAACUUCAUUGAUGUAUUAGAAUGACAAACAGCCAUUAUGCUUCCUGGUGUUUUUGCCAUCUCCGUUUGAAUUUUAUUUUCUGCUUCUGUUUUGUAAGGUGUGUUUUCUGUCAUUCUAAUUACUUUUAACAAAAUCACACCUGUGCGCACUUUUUUAUUAAAUAAGCAUUUAGUUCUGGUCUCUGCCUCCAAGAGAUGAAACUGAGUUGGACUAUUUGUUUCAAUUUUAAUGUUCAAGUUUUUACCUUGUAAGACGGUGAUGAGUUCUGGGUUUGUUUAGUAGACAGAAUAAUGCUCUCAAAAGAUGCCCACAUUCUAAUCCCCAAAACCUGUGAAUAUGUCACCUAACAUGGCAAAAGGGACUUUUGUAACUAUACGUUUUUUGUGUUUACAUGUAAUUAGCUGAAAUAUUGUUUAGACUUCCACUGUGUGUCUUUACCAAUUAUCAGUUUAACAGUUUCUCUAUUAUGAAGAUAUAGAUUGACAUCAACAUUUGCUAUUAAUCAUUUAUUAUUUCUUCCUUUUAGAAAGUUGAAUUUCUGGAGCAAGAGAUACAAAUUAAGACUAUUGUUACAUGUUGCCUACAUACAUGACCCUCAAAAGCAUGAUUCCCAGUGGCAUCUCAACAGCAUACAUAAACAAUGGAACUCUAAUUACGCAUAAGUUGGUGAUCUUUAUGUUGUCUAAGAGGACUCCUUGGCUCUGUCGAUUUUUUUCCACUUAUUUCCAGUUUUUAGUCUCAAACUGUAUAAUUUCAGUUGAACUUGAUCUUCAAGUAUAGCAAUUAUUUCUUCUCUCUGCUCAAAAUUUCCUGUUGAAAGCUUCUGUUGGGUGUUUAUUUCAGUUAUUAUACUUUUUAUUUUCAAUAUUUAUAUUUUUUGUUCAUUUAUAGUGCUUUAUGGAUAUAUUCUAUUCUUUGUAGCAUUGUUCUGAUUUUCGUUAGUACUUUGUCCAUGGUUUCAGUUUUUGCUUGCUCUGAGGCUAAAGAUCACAUGCGGGAAAUAUCUUAGGGUCUUUUUCAGUCUAUUAUAAAAUUUCAGUGUACCUUAUGCAAAUUAUGUAGCUUUGUAGCUCCUCUUUCACACAUGGGAUCUUUAACAAGUCCAUAUUCUGCAAAGUAGUUCCUAGCCAGUUUUUUUUUUUUUUUUUAACCUGGAGAGAUUUCCCAGGUAGACAAAGAGGCAAACCCCUUGUGCCAGUCCUUCAGGGAAUCAUCAGACGGAUUAUAAUAGACAGACACAAUUUCUUAAGAACAAAGUUCACUCUACUUUUCUCCAGAACCAGGAAGCCACAUGUAGCUCACCUCCAUGCUAGGAAGAGUGGUAGGGCAACUCCUACAAAGUUGAUUCUGAGAGUUUUGCUGUUUUGUUUUUUUUUUUUAUGGUUUCUGUGAAUGUUAGAGCCCUUAGAUGUCCUGAC